ACGGGUGAGUAACGCGUGGGAAUCUACCCAACCCUGCGGAAUAACUCUGGGAAACUGGAAUUAAUACCGCAUACGCCCUACGGGGGAAAGAUUUAUCGGGGAUGGAUGAGCCCGCGUUGGAUUAGCUAGUUGGUGGGGUAAAGGCCUACCAAGGCGACGAUCCAUAGCUGGUCUGAGAGGAUGAUCAGCCACAUUGGGACUGAGACACGGCCCAAACUCCUACGGGAGGCAGCAGUGGGGAAUAUUGGACAAUGGGCGCAAGCCUGAUCCAGCCAUGCCGCGUGAGUGAUGAAGGCCUUAGGGUUGUAAAGCUCUUUCACCGGUGAAGAUAAUGACGGUAACCGGAGAAGAAGCCCCGGCUAACUUCGUGCCAGCAGCCGCGGUAAUACGAAGGGGGCUAGCGUUGUUCGGAAUUACUGGGCGUAAAGCGCACGUAGGCGGAUAUUUAAGUCAGGGGUGAAAUCCCAGAGCUCAACUCUGGAACUGCCUUUGAUACUGGGUAUCUUGAGUAUGGAAGAGGUAAGUGGAAUUGCAAGUGUAGAGGUGAAAUUCGUAGA
rnacentral:rRNA from 1 species